rnacentral:rRNA from 1 species
GAUGAACGCUGGCGGCGUGCUUAACACAUGCAAGUCGAACGGGAAACCUUUUAUUGAAGCUUCGGCAGAUUUAGCUGGUUUCUAGUGGCGGACGGGUGAGUAACGCGUGGGUAACCUGCCCUAUACAGGGGGAUAACAACCAGAAAUGGUUGCUAAUACCGCAUAAGCGCACAGGGCCGCAUGGUCCGGUGUGAAAAACUCCGGUGGUAUAGGAUGGACCCGCGUUGGAUUAGCCAGUUGGCAGGGUAACGGCCUACCAAAGCGACGAUCCAUAGCCGGCCUGAGAGGGUGAACGGCCACAUUGGGACUGAGACACGGCCCAGACUCCUACGGGAGGCAGCAGUGGGGAAUAUUGCACAAUGGGGGAAACCCUGAUGCAGCGACGCCGCGUGAAGGAAGAAGUAUCUCGGUAUGUAAACUUCUAUCAGCAGGGAAGAUAGUGACGGUACCGGACUAAGAAGCCCCGGCUAACUACGU